CCCUUAGAUGUUCUGGGCCGCACGCGCGCUACACUGAUUCAUGCAACGAGUUUUGUCCUUGGCUGAAAGGCCUGGGUAAUCUUUGAACGUGAAUCGUGCUGGGGGUAGAUGAUUGCAAUUAUUCAUCUUCAACGAGGAAUUCCUAGUAAACGCAAGUCAUCAGCUUGCAUUGAUUACGUCCCUGCCCUUUGUACACACCGCCCGUCGCACCUACCGAUUGAAUGGUCCGGUGAAAUCUUCGGAUCUGAGAGAUGUUGGAUUAAUUUCUGACGCCUUUUGGAAAAGUCGCUUAAACCUUAUCAUUUAGAGGAAGGUGAAGUCGUAACA
rnacentral:rRNA from 1 species